rnacentral:lncRNA from 1 species
AGAGCUCCCAAGCCCCUGCCCGCCACAUCUGCAGUGCCGCACACAGACAGGAGACCAGCAUUACAGCAACAACCGAGUGAGACGGACCGCUGGGGCUGGGCUGGGGCGGAGGCAGGGAAGGGGAAUCUGUCCGUUUCUUCUCCUAGGGUUUCCAUGAAGGAGGCAACAUGUGUCUCAUUGGUAAACCCUUUUUGUUCCUACAAGUUGAUUUCACAAGGAGAUAACUCACCCCCACAAGGCGGAAAUUAGCUCUUUAAACACAAACCAGACCCACGGGUAGGCAAGAGGAGCCCCGCCUGCCUCCUGCUCCUCCUGGAGUGAGGUUGAGGGUGAGCAAGGGAAGGUCUGGGCCAGGGAGGAGGGCUCCUCCGCAUUCUCCCUCCCCAGGAGCAGGACCCUGCCCCAGCCUGGAGGAAGGGGCGAGAGGCAGAAGAAGGUAGAAAGCAGUUCUCAGGCCACUGUCCCUGGUGGAGGUUUAGGCCCCUAAAACUGUGAGGGUCUCUGUCCUUCCAAUACCCUACAAGGGGCUUCGGCUUGGACCCUGUCAGCUAAGGCAGUCAUUCAACAGCUUUUUUAAGAAGACAUUAUUCAUUUAGUCUUUUAACUUAAAUUUAUUGAACACACACUAUGUGCCAGCACUGUUCUGAGCCCUGAGGCAGGAGAGAUGACAGUUCAGCGGGGACACAGCCAGAUAACUAAAUCCCCUCCAAAGUCUGAGGGUUACAAAGGGAAUCACAGGUUGAGCUGGUCUGUACCAUGGGAAACCAAAUUUAGUCCAAGAGCAUUUGGGGAUGGGGGGAGAUUCCUGAAGAAAAGAACCUUUCCGUGGUGAUCUGAAGGGCAGGGGAAAGUCCGCUGAGCAGAGGGUGGCAGGCUCAGGAUGGGGAUGGGGGUGGGGGAAAGUGUGUUCCCCACAGAGGAAACAGCACGGGUGAAGUCUCAGAGUAGACAGGGCUUGAAAUCCUGGAGGCUCUCUUUCAAAUUCCCAAGCCUGCAGGGCAGGAUUAGGGGCUGAGCACCCUGCUAGCCUGAGUUCCUCCCCCUUCUUCCCAAAUGGCCCUUCUUGCAGGAAGAGGGCUCUGUUGCUCUCCACCAUCCCACAGAGAUAUCAGCAUCUGCUGACUCAGAGCUGAACCCGAGCUUUAUUUGAUGUAAUGAGGAGCCCACACUGGCCCUUCUGAUCCCAGGGAUGCGGGAAACUUGCCUUCCAGGCGCGAGUGUGAGCUCCCGGAGGGCGGGACUCUAUCCCUCCCACCCCUCCUCCUGCCUUCCCCUGAUGCUCAGCGCCUGGCCCUUGGGUAAGAGGGACUUCAGAAAUUGAGCUUGGCAAAGCCAUUGCUUGUUCUGGCGGCCAGUAUUCAUUUGUGGGCCUGUCCUAUACAGGCGGCUGCUGUGCCCUGAGGUUCACCAGCUGGGCUUCCCAGAGUCCCCGUGCCCACACCAGAGGCCAGCAAGCCCUUCCCUGCUCAGGGGUCUCAGACUGUUACCUUAGGGAGCAGCCAACUCCCAUCUGAUUUUAAAUCCACCUCCAACCAUUGGAGUCCAGUUCCAGACAGGGAGCCCACUCCCUCUACAAGGCAGCAGUGUCAGGGGUUAGACAUCCUUGCCUAUCAGAAACCAUGCCCUUUGGCCAGGUGUGGUGGCUUACACUUGUAAUCCUAGCACUUUGGGAGGCCGAGGCAGGUGGAUCACCUGAGGUCAGGAGUUAGAGACCCAGCCUGGCCAACAAGGCAAAAUCCCAUCUCUACUAAAAAUACAAAAAAUUAGCCGGACGUGGUGGCGCACACCUGUAAUCCCAGCUACUAGGGAGGCUGAGGCAGGAGAAUCGCUUGAACCCAGGGGGCAGAGGUUGCAGUGAGCCAAGAUCGUGCCACUGCACUCCAGCCUGGACAAAAGAGGCAAACUCCAUCUCAAAAAAAAAGAAAGAAAGAAAGAAAAGAAACCAUCCUCUUCCUUGGAGGAAGCCUAACUCUGCCUUCCCCAGGCUGGUUUGGCAGCGAGCAAGAUGAGUCAAGGCCUGCACCAAAUGGAACCUGAUGUAUGGUAGGGCUUAGGGGAGACAACACCAGAGGGGAAGUGAAGUGGGGGAAGAGAAGAGAGACGGGAGUUGGCUGUUUGAGACAAGGUGGUCAGGGAAGGCCUCACUGAGAAGGUGGUGUGUUGCUGAUACCAGAGGGGAGAGAGGGAGGUACCAGUUGGGCACUGUGUUCAUCUGUUUCGCAUUGCUGUGAAGGAAAACCUGACUCUGGGUAACUUAGAAGGAAAGGGGGUUUAUGUGGCUCACAGUUCUGCAGGCUGUGCAGGAAGCAGCACGGCACCAGCAUCAGCUUCUGGGGAGGGCCUCAGGAAACCCACAAUCGUGAUGGAAGGUGAAGGGGGGUCAGGCAGGACACUUGGCAAGAGAGGGAGCAGGAGAGAUGCCAGGCACUUACAAAUAGCCAGCUCUCACAUGAACUGAUAGAGCGAGAACUCACUCAUUACCACAGGGAGGGCACCAAGCCAUUCAGGAGGGAUACCCCGCAAUGACCCAAACACCACACACCAGGCCUCACUUCCAACACUGGGGUCACAUUUCAACAUGAGAUUUGGAGGGCACACACAUCCAAACCAUAUCGGGCACUGAAGAAAGGCAAUCAGGUUGCCUGAAGGAGCCUCCAUCUGCCCAGGGGCUGCAGCCAGGCUGGCAGAAAGGGACCCCAGCUGAGCCCAGGCACAGUCCCUUCCCCACCCCCCACGGAGAGCCCAGUGCCAACAAUACCACCUCCCUCCUCAUGGGAAGACACAGAGGCCACCAAGGGAGGCCCUAAGCAGAGGGGAGGAAAUGGUGAGCUUCGUCCUUUUCCCCUGGUGGGGGCCUAGCAAGCAGAGCGCAGCCUUGUGCCUGGUACUUUGGCCAGGGCAUAGCUGGAAGGUCCAGAGGUAAGGGCCAGGUUUCUGCAUGGCAGUGGAGAACGCCUGGUUGGGGAGGCCACCUAGCCGGAUUUGAACCCUGGGACUGGCUAUGUGGCCUUGAGUGAGUCUUUUCCUCUCUGUGGGUCUCACUGUCCUCUCUCAAAUCCGGCCUGGAGAUUCUCCAGUUGUGAACUCUCCCCACAAGGCCCCCGUCCCUGCACACCAGUAACCAGUUGUAACAAGAAGGUCACAGAGAGUGGUUGUGACUUCCUAGGUGCCCCCAUUGCCUCCCACCUGCCCCCUCCUGGCCCCCAGCUGCCCUGCCCAGUCUGGUGCGGGCAGGGUGGGCAGGCUGGGUUGAAGAUCCAUGGAUAGCGGGUGGCCGCGUGGCUCAAGCUGCAAGGUGAGCCCACUUCUUGAGCCCAAGGUACCUCCUCAGCUUGGGGCUAGAAUCGCUUGGAGCUCCCAUCUGCAAAAUGGGAGGCUCGGCUCUGAGCUGUUAAGAAAGAUGCUACCUGGGAAGACGGCAGGAGGCAAGAAGUGUUAGGAAGAGAAGGAUGGUAAUGAUGUGCCCCUGAAGAAUUUCUCCAAAGGCCUGGGCAGCAGAGUCAAGGGCCUGCCCUCUGGAGCUGGCUUUAAAGGGGCACUGAUACCCAGGAAGGCCCAGCCCUGCCCUCAGGAGAGCAAAAGUGCUCAAAAGACAGAACUGCCAAAGCCUGAGGAGCGGGGAGGGAAAGGAGGAGAUGGCUUGGGCAGUCUUGCAGGCUCCCUGGAGGAGGGGGCCUGGAGCAGGGCCCUGAAGCCAUGGAAGAUCUGGAAUGGUAACAAGAAUGAAUUGACACGUGUCUCAGGAGUGCCAAGAAGGGAAGUCUGAGAGACAAGGAGAGAGUAGCAUAAGGGUCAGGGCAGGGCUCCCUCGCUGUGACCAGCAUGAACCCACGUGGGCACUCAGAUGAGGCUGAUGCCAGUAUCCAAGGAGCAGCUCAAACCAGCAGGUCUCCCAACUGGGCACAGAUUGGCGGGUGGCUAAGCCCUGCUCACUAUGGGAGGAGGUCCUAAAAAGCUUCUGGACUCUGAGCCAGUGAAGGCCAUCUGCCAUUUGGGCUUGGCACAGAGCUGCUAUGCCCCUCGGGUUGGAGCUGGCCCAUGAAGGCCUUGGGACAGGGCUUCCUUCCUCUCAUGUUUUUGUUCAAGUUGAUUAAACCUGAGGAAUUUUUGCAUCCAGGAGCAGAGGCCCACGUGCAUUUCUGCGGGAGCCUGUGAUUAUCAAAUCCUCAAAGGGCAAAGUGCCAAGCUUAGAAGAAGCUAACAGCAGGCCAGAAGGAAUGGGGAAGGCCAGCAGCAUCCCCAGAACCUCAGAAACAUCCCCUCAAGGACUCCCAGAUCUCCCAGAGAACCUCCAGAAUCUCAGCAACAUUUCUGAGUUUCAGUAAUGCCAUAAGAAGCCCUGCAACCUCAGUAUUGCCCCCAAGAAGCCCCAGACCUUCAGUAACACAUCAGAACCACUGCAACACCUCAGGACACUCAAACUCUGGCAAACUCAAACUCUGGCAAAUCAACCACAGAUUGGAACAAGAUGUUCAAAAGCCUGUGACCAUUUGCAGAAAGGCCAGAGACCCCCGUUGCUCUCCACCCUCCCAUCUCAGCCCUUGACUCUGAGUCCAGCAGCAAACCCAAUAGUUUACAAUACUCAAACCUCAGGUACACCCCCAACUUCGAUAGCACGGAAGAGAACACGCAAGAGAGGCGUUCCAGGAGUGGGGGGAUGGCCACUGUGCCCACCUGUGCAGCCCAGUCCCCUUGAGAGUCCAUGAAUAAGCAGCCGAGAGAGUCAACCUCAUGCGGGCCCGUGAGCUUGGGGUGUGCCCUCAGUGGCACAGCACACUCACACACACAUCCAACUGCCCUUCGCACACAUACGUGCUUAAUUCUGGCACCAGACCAAGUCUGACUCCACACAGUGGGCUGGAAGGCAGUGUCGUCGGCUGCCGUGCUCACGGCAGGAAGAGUAUGGGUGACUCUCCACCUCCUGUCUCUCUACCUCCUACCUCCCCUGCCAUGUGGGAGGGUCAGAAGCACCAUCUGAUGUGCCCUUCCUGCAAUUCUCAUGCCCCCCUCACCAACAGCAUCAUCAUAACAUAAAGGAUUUAGACCAGGCUGUUCUGGUAUGAGGGUGGACACUGGUGAGGAGGAGGAGGGUAGCCGGCUGUGCCAGGGGAGCAGCAUGUUCUUUCCCUCCCAGAGGGCUAGGCUAGUACUGACCUGGAGGAGGGAGGCAGAUUUCAGCUCAGAACAAAGGUAGCCUUCUAGAGUAGUGAGGCCCCCAUCAAGGGAGGCAAUCAAGAAGAGGCUGUUAACAUCAAGAUGCAACAGAGGGCUUCCUGCCUUCGGAGGACUAGACACAAGGCCAUGAAGAUUCCCCAGCUAUAAGAGCCCCACGUUCUCCGUUCCCAGCACGUUCCUCCCUGGGCUGGCCACCGUGGUGUGGCCUUGAGAUGUAGGCUUUGUGCUGCCCUCCUUCCUCACUGAGGACAUUGACUGCUGGGCAGAUCCCCUGACUUCUCUCUCCUUGUUCCCUUGCUGACCACAGGACAGGGCUCUCCACCAACCUUUUGCCCACAGCCAGUCAGAUCCAACUCAGACAGGACUCUGCGAAUGUCUCCUGCCUUUUGGAGCUCCUGCUAGCCCCCCAGUGUCCCCUGAGGGCAGCCCACCCCAGGUCUCCAAACUUACUCAUCAGAAUUGCUCCAGCCCAUCACUCUGCUCACUUCCUGCCCCUAGGCUCUGACUCCUGCUCACUUCCCACCGCACACCCCAUGUGCCUUCUCGCUGUUCCCCGACCUGUUCCAAUCCCACCUGGCCUCCCAGACUUGGCUCCAGCCUACCUCCAAUCAAGCGCUCUCCUGACCUCUCCCUUCCUUGUCUCUUUCCUUUCCUUUAUUGAUCUCUCCCGGAAACUUGUCCCUCCAGGCAAGCAGGGUGCUCCCAACACGGGGCCUUCUCCUCUGAGCCCAGCACCAGCUGGGCUGGGAUCCUAGAGGGGUGGCUGGUUGUGUGGUCUCGGCAGUUGGCCCUGAGAAGUGUCCCCAGCACCUGCUUUAAAAGGUGUUUGAUCUGCUCCUCCCGGAAGGCAGCUCCCCCCUUCUCCAGUCUGGCUCUGCCCCUCCUCCUGCCCUCACAGACCUCCCGCCCUUGAUUCCGGGAUCAGAGGAACCCACCCCACCCCCAUCUCCAGCUCAGGCACAGAGCAGGGGCUGGGGCCCCACACAACACACAGGGCGGCUUGUCUCCAGCGGUAUAGCCUCUCCACACCCCCAAACCGUUUGCUCGAAACUUGAUCUCCUUGGCCCUCAGAGUCACCUCAGUGGAGAAGCCUGCACAGGGCUUUGAUGGCUGAGUUUCCCCAGAUGUGGCCUUAGAGAAGCUGAGGAACCCCCUACUUACCUCCAUUUGUCCCCAUCCAUCACUCCCAGGGGGCCACUGCCUGAUGAAUUGCCAGAGGGGAACCACCAGCUCGGCUCUUAAUAACCGGAUCUGCAUCCUGCUGCUGCCCAGCUGGGCUGAGGGCCCUGACCACAGCUAAGGGGAGUCAUCACAGGGCUUCAGGGCUGGAAUUCCAGUGCUGCAGGAUGAGUGGCGCUGGUCUCGGGAUCCGCAGAGUCUACAGGGCCCUGGGCUUGGACACCGUCUCAGGGGUUUGUGCCUUCAGAGCCUGGUGGAGCAGCCAAGCAACUGGGCACAUGAAGACAAAGGUCAGUGCUGCUGAGCAGUAAGGCUACCUUCUCCCUCCCGCCAGACCAAGAACUUUAGCCCCUCCAAGGCAAGUCUGGCAGAGGGGGGCUGUCAGGGCAAGCCCAGGGAUCACUGAUGCUGCCCUAGCUCCCCUCCUCCAGCUCCUGCUCAGCUGGAGGUCAGAGCAAAAGGACUUGAGGGAUGACCCAAGACUUUCCUGACAGUGCUUGGUGCUGGAGCCCGGAGCAGGAGGCCAAGAGAGGAACGGAGUGCCAUCCAAUGGCACUGGCGUGGCAGACAGGAUCACAGUUACUACUCAUGGCAGAAAGCUUCAAAGUAGCCAGGCCCCUCGGUGGAAGGAAGAGACGAGGCUUCUAAUUUUGUUUUUACUACUUACUAGCUGAGUGACCACAAAUGCAGCCUGUUGGAACUCAGAAAAUAACACCCGAAAAUGAAAGCCUCAGAAGCAAAAGUGACCUUCUAGCCUUCUCCUGCCCUCCUGUGUCUCAGGCCCGUUUUCCCCCAAGGACGGACAUAGAAAAGAGAAUCCCUCCUCCUCAAGGCGGGUUAUAGAAAUCAAAACCCCUUUUCCCCAAAGCUAGCCAUAAAGCCUACAAACUCUAACUUUCCCCAAUUUCUGUGUAAAAACUGGCCACAAAUAAAUUCUCAGGCCUAGGUGGGGCAUGGUGGCUCACACCUAUAAUCCCAGCACUUUGGGAGGCCGAGUCGGGUGUAUCAUUUGAGGUCAGGAGUUCAAGACCAGCAUGGCCGACAUUAUGAAACCCCGUCUCUAUUAAAAAUACAAAAAUUAGCCAGGCAGUAGUGGUGUACACUUGUAAUCCCAGCUACUUGGGAGGCUGAGGCAGGAGAAUCGCUUCAACCUGGAAGACGGAGGUUACAGUGAGCCGAGAACGCUCCACUGCACACCAAUCUGGGCGAGAGAGCGAGACUCUGUCUCUAAAAAAAAAAAAAACAAAAAAAAUUCUCAGGCCUACCUUGUUUGAUUGUAGGUCAGACCUCCAUUCCAGAAAGUCCUGCCCCAUACCCACACCCAGAAGGAAGAAAUGCAUGCUCAGAGGGGCCAGGAAGAAAUCCAGAGAGACAGGCCUUGCUGGGUGUCCCCACUCCGUCUAUUCACAUUCGAUCAUUGCCCUUUUUGUCCAGUCAUAUCGCUACACAGCUGUCCAUGUGUCCUUGAAACUCAGCAUAAAAGUGGACAAUUUUCCCUGUAUCUCUGGGUCCUUGUUCUGAAGGCUCCUGUGUACAUGUUAAUAAGGUGUACACCUUUCCUCCUAUUCACCUGCCUCUUGUUGGUGAUUUCUAGCCAACCUUCAGAGGGUGGUGGGGAAGCUUUCCCCUGGCCGCUGCAAGCCCCUCCGUGUUCGGGGUUCCAGUUUUCCCAUUUGUGUGACGGAGGGAGACUGGCUGCCAUUCUUCCCUUUGCUGGUCUGAGCCUGUGAUCCUGUUGCCCUGUGGGCCUCUGGCACUGUGGACUUGAAGGGAAGGGAGUGGGAAGUGGGCCUGGGGUGACGUACCCCUGCGGGGGAAGGGAGGCUGCUGCAGGGGGCUGGGUGCUGAAGGCCCAGGGUGGAGCAGUGAUGAUCGCAUGAUCACCUAAUCGCAGUGGCCCAGGAGUCAGGAGAUCAGAGGUCUAUCCCUUCACUAGCCACGUGCUCUCUCUGCACCUCAGAUUCUGCGCCUGUGGAAGGAGAUGAGUCCCAGCCCCAGAUCCUUGGCUCCAGAGAACUCAUGGGCUCCCUGCUUGCCAGGAUUCAGCUCUGCCUAGAGGAAGGAAGUAAAGUGGGGGUGGGGAGGGAGUUGGAGGUGGAUCGUUGAAGAUAGGGGUCUCAGAGCCCUCAGGGGCCAUGGGGGUGUGUCAGCGGGGGAGGUUGAAAGGAGCCAUUGUGGGAAGCAGGAAGGGGGCCCUCUGGGGUGGGCUAAUUAUAGGCCCUGGCUCUUCCAAACAAAGCCAGCGGCCUCUGAGUGGCCAUUCUUUGGGGGAAGAAAGAAGACUGGAGGGCCCCAUUAAGGUCUUUCACGCUGGGACUUUGGAAGGUGGCUUGGAAGUUCGCCUUCCAAGGCUGCUCCCUUCCUGCCUCCCUCCACUCACCCCAGCCCACAUCCCUUACCCCUUCUUGAACCCCUCUGGGGAACCAGGCCCUGCCCCCCAGAGACAGUCUCACCUGGAGUUUAAACUUUUUGAAAACCGUGGGAGGCUGAAUCAGGGAGGCAGCCAGGAGUAGAGAGAACCCUGAGAAGGGAGGAGGGAUCUGGUGCUGCCCUGCGGCCCUGGGCUCAGUUUCUUCAUCUGUAAAAUGGGCUUGCCGUCUAGCCCUGACUUGCUGAAAUUCACUGAUGUUUCCAGAUUUCUACAUAGAACUGAGGCCAGACUCAGAGAUGCCUGAGCAUCAGGGUUUCUGCCUCCUGUCCUAUUUACUACCCUCCAACACUGGUACCCUCCCUCCUCACCACCUGCUUGCCCACUGAGGCACCAGGUUGCAUCUCUGAGUCUAAAUUUGACUCAAAAGCCCAAAUGGUCUUUGCUUGUCACAGAUGGACUCCAAAUGAAAUAGCCAAAAGAACUCUUAUUCCUUUCUGCAUAAGUAGAAGCUGGGUUGAAUUUCUUCAUCACUUCAUUCAUUCAUGCAUUCAUUCAUUUAUUCAUCCAUAAUGCUUUAACCAUUUCCCAGGCACCUAUCCCUCGCCCAGCGUGGGCACACAAACAUGAUUCCUGAAACAACAUUCAGGGCAAUGAAUGAUGACUUGUGUGGGCAAGUCAUCAUUUGAGACAGGAGAGGAAAAUGCAAAAUGGGAUGGAGGAGGGAGUCACUAACCCGGGUCACAGGGGAGGAGGCUUUUAGCCAGUCUGCAGGAUGAGUAGGGCUGCUGUCGGGUGGAGCUGGGCAGUUUGGGUAGUGGAAAUCACACCAGCAAGGGUAGGGAGGUGAGAAAGGGCAGACCUGGCCUGGAGCAAAAGGGAACCUUCCCCAGGACAUUAUGUUAAGUGAAAUAAGCCAUUUGUGAAAAGACAAAUACUGUAAGAUUCCAAUUCUAUGAAGCACUGAGUAUUCAAAUUCACAGAGACGGAAAGUAGAAUGGUGGUUGCCAGGAGCUGGGGGGAGGUGGAAGAAGUUGUUGUUUAAUGGGUGUAGAGUUUCAGUUUUGCAAGAUGAAAAGAGUUCUGGAGAUUGGUUGCACAACAAUGUAAAUUUAUUUAACACCACUGAGCUGCACAUUUCAAAGUGGUUAGGAUGGUACAUUUUAUGUUAUGUGUAUUUGACUACAAUUUUUUUUUAAAAAGUAACUGUACACACACACCAAAAAAAAGUACCUUCCCCAGAGAUAAUGGGAGAGGGGAGGCAAGAAAUAGGAGUGGGUGUGGACAUUAGGUGGUGGAGGAUCCUAAAACCUUGCUAAGGCCAACAGAGCCACCUCAGAUUCUUUGUAGAAAGUUGGAGGGAGGUUAGCCGGGCGUGGUGGCGCAUGCCUGUAAUCCCGGCUACUGAAGAAGGCUGAGGCAGGAGAAUCGCUUGAACCCGGGAGGCAGAGGUUGCAGUGAGCCGAGAUCUCGCCACUGCACUCCAGCCUGGGCAACAAGAGCAAAACUCGAUCUCACCAAAAAAAAAAAAAAAGAAAGAAAGAAAGAAAGAAAGAAAAAAAGUUGGAGGGAGGGAAAGAAGGGAGAGCAAGGGGUAUGUGGGAAGUAUUGAAGGGACUCGGGAUAAACCGGCGUGAUUCUGAGCGUGGGCCCUGCUUGCAGGGGAUGGGGCCAGGAUACGUGCACAAAGGUUGGCCCUAGGGCAGAAGCAACUGGACUCCUAUCUUGUAACAUUUCUGCUGGUCACUUCAAAUAUGCAAGGGAAGAGAGCUGCUAUUACUGAGUCACUAAGCUCCAAGACCUCAGACCUGGCAGAGGUACACCACCGCCUCCAGACCCACACUGGUUGGCCAUGCCCAGCCGCUGAGGCAAAGGUUUCCAGGUAGUCUCUGCCACCUACCCUCUCCCCAAAAUGGCCAUACUGUGGUCUUUCCCGACAUGAAUUAUAGAAUUUCAGACUAUCAGAGCUGAGAGAUGACUUAUCUGCCCCACUACCCCAAUCAUACAGAUGGGCACACUGACACCCAAACAGAAGGGAUCUCCUGAAUUUCACUUACAAGUCAGGCGACUAGAACUCUUUGUCUCAGCUUCUCCCUGGGGGAUCUGAAGAAACUGAAUUUUAAUCAUUGCAGAGGAAGCCUGCUGUAUACAUUGGGACCUGUAGCUGGGCUGGCCAAUACCACUUUUUUUUUUUUU